rnacentral:rRNA from 1 species
UUGAUCCUGGCUCAGAAUCAACGCUGGCGGCGUGCCUAACACAUGCAAGUCGAACGAGAAAGUGGAGCAAUCCAUGAGUAAAGUGGCGACCGGGUGAGUUACACGUGACCAAUCUACCCUUGAGUGGGGGAUAACCUCGGGAAACCGGGUCUAAUACCGCAUAACAUCUUCGGAUCGGAAGAGCUGGAGAUCAAAGGAGUAAUUCGCUUAAGGAGGAGGUCGCGGCUGAUUAGCUAGUUGGCGGGGUAAUGGCCCACCAAGGCAAAGAUCGGUAGCCGGCCUGAGAGGGCGCACGGCCAUACUGGAACUGAAACACGGUCCAGACUCCUACGGGAGGCAGCAGUGGGGAUUUUUGCGCAAUGGGGGAAACCCUGACGCAGCAACGCCGCGUGGAGGAUGUAGUCCCUUGGGACGUAAACUCCUUUCGACCCGGACGAUAAUGACGGUACUGGUGGAAGAAGCCCCGGCUAACUUCGUGCCAGCAGCCGCGGUAAUAAGGU